AUUUCAGAAAAAGAAGACUAAAAAGGCAGAAGAAGACAUAUGAUUAGCAGAGAAGAGAAGCUGGUUCAGUUGCCAGAGUUGAUGAGAAAAAUAAACCAUUGCGUAAGUUGGAAGAGAAAUGGAGACAGUGGGAAAAGGUAAAAAGAUCACAAAUGGUGACGGUGGUGGAAGACAAAAACGGAGGAGACGGUGGCGAAAAUGGUGGAAACGAUGAUGGUGGUAAAGAAUAAAAUAAUUGGAUAUACGGUGGUGGAAGAGAAAACAGUGGAGACAAUGGUGAAAGCAGUGAUAGUGGCGAAGAAUGAAACAAUCGGUGACAACGAUGGUGGUAAUAGUAAGAAUACAAGUGAUUGCGGCGGAAGAAAGUGAAAUGAUCGGAGAUGGAGGAGAUGAAUUAAAAAGAGGGAGAAGAAUAAAAUGUGUUGCAUGUGUGAUACCA
rnacentral:lncRNA from 1 species